rnacentral:rRNA from 1 species
GACGAACGCUGGCGGCGCGCCUAACACAUGCAAGUCGAACGGAGCUUGCUCAGCAGAUUCUUUCGGGAUGACGCAGAGUAAGCUUAGUGGCGAACGGGUGAGUAACACGUGAGGAACCUGCCCUUGAGUGGGGGACAACAGUCGGAAACGACUGCUAAUACCGCAUAAGCCCACGGAGCCGCAUGGCUCAGGGGGAAAAGGAUUUAUUCGCUUUAGGAUGGACUCGCGUCUGAUUAGAUAGUUGGUGAGGUAACGGCCCACCAAGUCGACGAUCAGUAGCCGGACUGAGAGGUUGAUCGGCCACAUUGGGACUGAGACACGGCCCAGACUCCUACGGGAGGCAGCAGUGGGGAAUAUUGCACAAUGGGGGAAACCCUGAUGCAGCGACGCCGCGUGGAGGAAGAAGGUCUUCGGAUUGUAAACUCCUGUUCUUAGGGACGAUAAUGACGGUACCUAAGAAGAAAGCCACGGCUAACUACGUGCCAGCAGCCGCGGUAAAACGUAGGUGGCAAGCGUUGUCCGGAAUUACUGGGUGUAAAGGGAGCGCAGGCGGGAUGGCAAGUUGGAAGUGAAAACUAUGGGCUCAACCCAUAGAUUGCUUUCAAAACUGCUAUUCUUGAGUGGUGCAGAGGUAGGCGGAAUUCCCGGUGUAGCGGUGGAAUGCGUAGAUAUCGGGAGGAACACCAGUGGCGAAGGCGGCCUACUGGGCACUAACUGACGCUGAGGCUCGAAAGCAUGGGUAGCAAACAGGAUUAGAUACCCUGGUAGUCCAUGCCGUAAACGAUGAUUACUAGGUGUGGGGAGAUUGACCCCUCUCCGUGCCGCAGUUAACACAAUAAGUAAUCCACCUGGGGAGUACGACCGCAAGGUUGAAACUCAAAGGAAUUGACGGGGGCCCGCACAAGCAGUGGAGUAUGUGGUUUAAUUCGAAGCAACGCGAAGAACCUUACCAGGUCUUGACAUCCGAUGCAUAGUCUAGAGAUAGAUGAAGUCCUUCGGGACAUCGAGACAGGUGGUGCAUGGUUGUCGUCAGCUCGUGUCGUGAGAUGUUGGGUUAAGUCCCGCAACGAGCGCAACCCCUAUUGUUAGUUACUACGAAAGAGGACUCUAGCAAGACUGCCGUUGACAAAACGGAGGAAGGUGGGGAUGACGUCAAAUUAUCAUGCCCUUUAUGACCUGGGCUACACACGUACUACAAUGGCGCUUAACAAAGAGAAGCAAGAUCGCGAGAUGGAGCAAACCUCAUAAACAGCGUCUCAGUUCAGAUUGCAGGCUGCAACUCGCCUGCAUGAAGUCGGAAUUGCUAGUAAUCGUGGAUCAGCAUGCCACGGUGAAUACGUUCCCGGGCCU